UACGUAGGUGACAAGCGUUGUCCGGAUUUACUGGGCGUAAAGAGCGCGCAGGCGGUCGAUCAAGUCGAGUGUGAAAGCCCCCGGCUCAACUGGGGAGGGUCACGCGAUACUGAUCGACUCGAAGGCAGGAGAGGGUAGUGGAAUUCCCGGUGUAGUGGUGAAAUGCGUAGAUAUCUGGAGGAACACCGGUGGUGUAAACGGCUUUCUGGACCAUUACUGACGCUGAUGCACGAAAGCGUGGGUAGCAAACAGG
rnacentral:rRNA from 1 species